rnacentral:lncRNA from 1 species
AACGUUACUAUUUUUCCAUUCAUUGCCUGAAGCUUUCUUCGUACAGUAUUUUAGAAAAGCAACACAACAUAUAUAAUUCAUUCAUCUUGUUUCAGCAACAUAUAUACAUACACGACAACAAAACAACUUAUAUACAAUUCAUAUAACUCUCUUCUCCAAAUUUUCUUCACCAAAAUAUAAUUGGUUUCCUGUGUUUCAUUGGUUUUGUGAACUGGUAUUGUUGUACCAGCACUGAUAUUGUUAUAUCAGUGAGAUUGAUAUUGUUGUAUCAAUUUUCGAGUGGUUUUGUAGAACCAAUCAAGAAGGUGUUCCUUCUCCGAUCAUUACAGUGCAGUAAUUGAUCGGUUCUGUGUUGAACAGGGCUGUUUUAUCCUGGGGACGACGCGGUUGGAUUGUCUGCUUUGCACAAUUUGAGCAGUACCGCGAAACGUCUUAAAGAG